rnacentral:misc_RNA from 1 species
GAUGAAGAACGGCAGCGAAAUGCGAUAAGUAAUGUGAAUUGCAGAAUUCAGUGAAUCAUCGAAUCUUUGAACGCACCUUGCGCUCUUUGGUAUUCCGAAGAGCAUGCCUGUUUGAGUGUCAUGAAAAUAUCAACCUUGACUUGGGUUUUGUGCUCUAGUCUCGGCUUGGAAUUGGGUGCUUGCCGCUUUUACGAGCGGCUCACCUUAAAUGUAUUAGCUGGAUCUGUCUUUGAGACUUGGUUUGACUUGGCGUAAUAAGUAUUUCGCUAAGGACAUUCUUCGGAGUGGCCUCGUUUCUAGGACGCUUGUCCGCUUUCCAAUACAAGUUCCACCUCGUGGACAUGACUUUUUAUUAUCUGGCCUCAAAUCAGGUAGGACUACCCGCUGAACUUAAGCAUAUCAAUAAGCGGAGGA